rnacentral:rRNA from 1 species
UACAGAGGGGGCAAGCGUUGUUCGGAAUUACUGGGCGUAAAGGGCGCGUAGGCGGCCUGCUAAGUCGAACGUGAAAUCCCUGGGCUCAACCCAGGAACUGCGUCCGAUACUGGUUGGCUUGAAUCCGGGAGAGGGAUGUGGAAUUCCAGGUGUAGCGGUGAAAUGCGUAGAUAUCUGGAGGAACACCGGUGGCGAAGGCGACAUCCUAGACCGGUAUUGACGCUGAGGCGCGAAAGCUAGGGGAGCAAACGGG